AUUCAACGUAUUAGUUUGGAACUCGAAUAAAUACAAUAUAAAGAGUUGCAACAUCUGAUCUUACAUAAAUUGAAGUUUGAGUUGAACAUGUACCACUGCCAUCAUCCACAAAUGGAAUUGAACCUGAACCAUUGCCAUCACACACAAUUGGUCUUGGAGUUGAACAUGUACCACUACCUUCAUCCAUGACUGGAAUCGGAAUUGGCCAAUUAAUCACUUCACUGGUCCGGAGCAAAGAGAAAGAGCAGCAGCACGAACCAGUGGCGACGAGCGCAUGGCAGCCUGGCCCC
rnacentral:lncRNA from 1 species